GACGAACGCUGGCGGCGUGCUUAACACAUGCAAGUCGAACGGAAAGGCCCUGCUUUUGUGGGGUGCUCGAGUGGCGAACGGGUGAGUAACACGUGAGUAACCUGCCCUUGACUUUGGGAUAACUUCAGGAAACUGGGGCUAAUACCGGAUAGGAGCUCCUGCUGCAUGGUGGGGGUUGGAAAGUUUCGGCGGUUGGGGAUGGACUCGCGGCUUAUCAGCUUGUUGGUGGGGUAGUGGCUUACCAAGGCUUUGACGGGUAGCCGGCCUGAGAGGGUGACCGGCCACAUUGGGACUGAGGUACGGCCCAGACUCCUACGGGAGGCAGCAGUGGGGAAUAUUGCACAAUGGGCGGAAGCCUGAUGCAGCGACGCCGCGUGCGGGAUGACGGCCUUCGGGUUGUAAACCGCUUUCGCCUGUGACGAAGCGUGAGUGACGGUAAUGGGUAAAGAAGCACCGGCUAACUACGUG
rnacentral:rRNA from 1 species